AUUAAACGCUGCGGCAGGCUUAACACAUGCAAGUCGAGCGAGCGCCGCAUGGGUGAGUAAUGCUUAGGCAUCUGCCUACUCGUGGGGGACAACAUCCCGCAAGGGAUCCUAAUACCGACUCCUAAUAGCACCGCCUCAGUCGGACUAGCUAGUUGGUUGGGUUAAGGCAUACCAAGGCGACGAUCUGUAGCGGGUCUGAGAGGAUGAUCCGUCACACUGGGACUGAGACACGGCCCAGACUCCUACAGGAGGCAGCAGUGGGGAAUAUGGGACAAUGGGGGGAACCCUGAUCCAGCCAUGCCGCGUGUGUGAAGAAGGCCUUAUGGUUGUAAAGCACUUUAAGCGAGGAGGCGUUACUCGCAGAAUAAGCACCGGCUAACUCUGUGCCAGCAGCCGCGGUAAUAC
rnacentral:rRNA from 1 species